CCUACGGGGGGCUGCAGUGGGGAAUAUUGGACAAUGGGGGGAACCCUGAUCCAGCCAUGCCGCGUGUGUGAAGAAGGCCCUCGGGUUGUAAAGCACUUUCAGUGAGGAAGAACGCCUGGUGGUUAAAACCCAUCAGGAAAGACAUCACUCACAGAAGAAGCACCGGCUAACUCCGUGCCAGCAGCCGCGGUAAUACGGAGGGUGCGAGCGUUAAUCGGAAUUACUGGGCGUAAAGCGCGCGUAGGUGGCUUGAUAAGCCGGUUGUGAAAGCCCCGGGCUCAACCUGGGAACGGCAUCCGGAACUGUCAAGCUAGAGUGCAGGAGAGGAAGGUAGAAUUCCCGGUGUAGCGGUGAAAUGCGUAGAGAUCGGGAGGAAUACCAGUGGCGAAGGCGGCCUUCUGGACUGACACUGACACUGAGGUGCGAAAGCGUGGGUAGCAAACAGGAUUAGAUACCCUGGUAGUC
rnacentral:rRNA from 1 species